rnacentral:rRNA from 1 species
CCUACGGGUGACAGCAGUGGGGAAUAUUGUACAAUGGGGGAAACCCUGAUGCAGCGACGCCGCGUGAGUGAAGAAGUAAUUCGUUAUGUAAAGCUCUAUCAGCAGGGAAGAAAAUGAUGGUACCUGAGUAAGAAGCCCCGGCUAACUACGUGCCAGCAGCCGCGGUAAUACGUAGGGGGCAAGCGUUAUCCGGAUUUACUGGGUGGAAAGGGAGCGUAGACGGCAGUGCAAGUCUGGAGUGAAAGGCGGGGGCUCAACCCCCGGACUGCUCUGGAAACUGUACGGCUGGAGUGCAGGAGAGGUAAGUGGAAUUCCUAGUGUAGCGGUGAAAUGCGUAGAUAUUAGGAGGAACACCAGUGGCGAAGGCGGCUUACUGGACUGUAACUGACGUUGAGGCUCGAAAGCGUGGGGAGCAAACAGGAUUAGAUACCCGAGUAGUC